rnacentral:rRNA from 1 species
GACGAACGCUGGCGGCGUGCUUAACACAUGCAAGUCGAACGGUAAGGCCCUUCGGGGUACACGAGUGGCGAACGGGUGAGUAACACGUGGGUGAUCUGCCCUGCACUUCGGGAUAAGCCUGGGAAACUGGGUCUAAUACCGGAGAGGACCUCUGCUUGCAUGGGUGGUGGGGGAAAGCUUUUGCGGUGUGGGGUGGGCCUGGGGCCUAUCAGCUUGUUGGUGGGGUGAUGGCCUACCAAGGGGACGGCGGGUAGCCGGCCUGAGAGGGUGACCGGCCACACUGGGACUGAGAUACGGCCCAGACUCCUACGGGAGGCAGCAGUGGGGAAUAUUGCACAAUGGGCGCAAGCCUGAUGCAGCGACGCCGCGUGAGGGAUGACGGCCUUCGGGUUGUAAACCUCUUUCAGCACCGACGAAGCGCAAGUGACGGUAGGUGCAGAAGAAGGACCGGCCAACUACGUGCCAGCAGCCGCCGUAA